CCAAUAGCGUAUAUUAAAGUUGCUGCAGUUAAAAAGCUCGUAGUUGAAUUUCGGGACUAAUAUGUCGGUCGUGCCUCGGUACGUACUGGUAUUUUUGGUUUCUCCCUUCUGACGAACCUUGAUGUCAUUAAUUUGGUGUCUUGGGAAAUCAGGACUGUUACUUUGAAAAAAUUAGAGUGUUUAAAGCAGGCUCACGCUUGAAUACAUUAGCAUGGAAUAAUGAAAUAGGACGUUUGAUUCUAUUUUGUUGGUUUCUAGGAUCGACGUAAUGAUUAAUAGUGAUAGUUUGGGGCAUUAGUAUUCAAUUGUCAGAGGUGAAAUUCUUGGAUUUAUUGAAGACUAACUACUGCGAAAGCAUUUGCCAAGGAUGUUUUCAUUAAUCAAGAACGAAAGUUAGGGGAUCGAAGACGAUCAGAUACCGUCGUAGUCUUAACCAUAAACUAUGCCGACUAGGGAUCGGAUGAUGUUAAUUUUUUAAUGACUCAUUCGGCGCCUUACG
rnacentral:rRNA from 1 species